UUCUGUGGCUUAGUUGGUUAAAGCGCCGGUCUAUAUGAUAAGGAAUCGUGGGUUCGAAUCCCACCAGAA
rnacentral:tRNA from 1 species